UACGGAGGAUCCAAGCGUUAUCCGGAUUUACUGGGUUUAAAGGGUGCGUAGGCGGAUUAAUAAGUCAGUGGUGAAAGCCUGCAGCUUAACUGCAGAACUGCCAUUGAUACUGUUAGUCUGGAGUAUGGUUGAGGUAGCUGGAAUGUGUCAUGUAGCGGUGAAAUGCUUAGAGAUGACACAGAACACCGACGGCGAAGGCAGGUUACCAACCCAUUACUGACGCUGAGGCACGAAAGCGUGGGGAUCAAACAGGAUUAGAUACCCUGGUAGUCCACGCCGUAAACUAUGAUUACUAGUUGUUGGCGAUACAUUGCCAGUGACUGAGCGAAAGCAUUAAGUAAUCCACCUGGGGAGUACGUUCGCAAGAAUGAAACUCAAAGGAAUUGACGGGGGCCCGCACAAGCGGAGGAGCAUGUGGUUUAAUUCGAUGAUACGCGAGGAACCUUACCUGGCCUCGAACGUGUAUGGAAUUAUGCCGAAAGGUAUAAGCCAGCAAUGGCCGUAUACGAGGUGCUGCAUGGUUGUCGUCAGCUCGUGCCGUGAGGUGUUAGGUUAAGUCCUGCAACGAGCGCAACCCUUACCUUUAGUUGCCAGCAUGUAAUGAUGGGGACUCUAAAGGAACUGCCUACGCAAGUAGUGAGGAAGGUGGGGAUGACGUCAAAUCAGCACGGCCCUUAUGUCCAGGGCGACACACGUGCUACAAUGGCCGAUACAAAGGGCAGCUACCGGGCGACCGGAUGCGAAUCUUUAAAAUCGGUCUCAGUUCGGAUCGGAGUCUGCAACUCGACUCCGUGAAGUCGGAUUCGCUAGUAAUCGCGCAUCAGCCAUGGCGCGGUGAAUACGUUCCCGGGCCU
rnacentral:rRNA from 1 species